AUCUUUCUAAUACUAAAUAGUAUUUACGGCUUCCAACCAUACAGUCUUGGUUAAAUUCCAAGGAAAGAUA
rnacentral:tRNA from 1 species